GGGUAGUUUGAUUCUGACUAAUUUAUUAAUUAUUAGAAAUAUAUACAUGUAAGUUUUUGCUUAAAAUUUUUAUUAUUUUAAUAUGGAAUUUUCUUUGCAGUAUUUAAUAUUAAAUAUAUAAUUAUUUAUGAUUUGGGUAUUCUUUUUAUUAUUGUAAAUGUUUGUGCCAGCAUACGCGGUUAUACAAUAAAUAUUAAUUAAUAUUUUUGGUUUAAUUUAGUUAAAUUUAUUUGAAUUUAAUUUUUUAAUUUUUGGGUGAAAUUAUAAAUUAUAAUUAAUUUUUUUUUGAUUCUUUGAAAUAUAAUUGUUAAACUAGGAUUAGAUACCCUAUUAUUUUAUAUGUUAAUUUUAACCUGGGUAAUAAUAGUUAUGUUCUUUAAACCUAAAGAAUUUGGCGGUGUUUUAGUCUAUUUAGAGGAAUUUGCUUUAUAAUCGAUAAUCCUCGUUUUAUCUUACUUAAUUUUGUUUAUCAGUAUGUAUACCGCUGUUAUAAGUUUAUUUUAUUAGAAUUUUAAUUUACUUUAAUUAUUAAUUUAAUUUAUUUCAAGUCAAGGUGCAGUCUAUAAUUAAGUAUUAGUGAAUUACAAUAUUUUUAGUAUAUGGAUUUAAUUUUUAAAAGUUUAAUGAAAGUGGAUUUAAUAGUAAUUUUAUUUAUAAUUUUAUUUUGAUUAUAGCUCUAAAAUAAGUACAUAUCGCCCGUCACUCUCAAUUUAUUUGAGAUAAGUCGUAACAUAGUAGAUGUACUGGAAAGUGUAUCUAGUAAGAAUUUUA
rnacentral:ncRNA from 1 species